rnacentral:rRNA from 1 species
AACGAACGCUGGCGGCAGGCCUAACACAUGCAAGUCGAGCGAGGACUUCGGUUCUAGCGGCGGACGGGUUAGUAACGCGUGGGAACGUGCCCUUUUCUACGGAAUAGCCUCGGGAAACUGAGAGUAAUACCGUAUACGCCCUUCGGGGGAAAGAUUUAUCGGAGAAGGAUCGGCCCGCGUUAGAUUAGAUAGUUGGUGGGGUAAUGGCCUACCAAGUCUACGAUCUAUAGCUGGUUUGAGAGGAUGAUCAGCAACACUGGGACUGAGACACGGCCCAGACUCCUACGGGAGGCAGCAGUGGGGAAUCUUAGACAAUGGGCGCAAGCCUGAUCUAGCCAUGCCGCGUGAGUGAUGAAGGCCCUAGGGUCUAAAGCUCUUUCGCCUGUGAAGAUAAUGACUGUAGCAGGUAAAGAACCCCG